UGGCUCAGAACGAACGCUGGCGGCAGGCNAACACAUGCAAGUCGAGCGCUCUCUUCGGAGGGAGCGGCGGACGGGUGAGUAACGCGUGGGAAUAUGCCCUUCUCUACGGAAUAGCCACUGGAAACGGUGAGUAAUACCGUAUACGCCCUUCGGGGGAAAGAUUUAUCGGAGAAGGAUUAGCCCGCGUUAGAUUAGAUAGUUGGUGGGGUAACGGCCUACCAAGUCUACGAUCUAUAGCUGGUUUUAGAGGACGAUCAGCCACACUGGGACUGGGACACGGCCCAGACUCCUACGGGAGGCAGCAGUGGGGAAUCUUAGACAAUGGGCGAAAGCCUGAUCUAGCCAUGCCGCGUGAGUGAUGAAGGCCCUAGGGUCGUAAAGCUCUUUCGCCAGGGAUGAUAAUGACAGUACCUGGUAAAGAAACCCCGGCUAACUCCGUGCCAGCAGCCGCGGUAAUACGGAGGGGGUUAGCGUUGUUCGGAAUUACUGGGCGUAAAGCGCACGUAGGCGGACUGGAAAGUUGGGGGUGAAAUCCCGGGGCUCAACCCCGGAACUGCCUCCAAAACUAUCAGUCUAGAGUUCGAGAGAGGUGAGUGGAAUUCCAAGUGUAGAGGUGAAAUUCGUAGAUAUUUGGAGGAACACCAGUGGCGAAGGCGGCUCACUGGCUCGAUACUGACGCUGAGGUGCGAAAGUGUGGGGAGCAAACAGGAUUAGAUACCCUGGUAGUCCACACCGUAAACGAUGAAUGCCAGUCGUCGGGCAGUAUACUGUUCGGUGACACACCUAACGGAUUAAGCAUUCCGCCUGGGGAGUACGGUCGCAAGAUUAAAACUCAAA
rnacentral:rRNA from 1 species